UGGGGAAUAUUGGACAAUGGGCGAAAGCCUGAUCCAGCCAUGCCGCGUGUGUGAAGAAGGUCUUCGGAUUGUAAAGCACUUUAAGUUGGGAGGAAGGGCAUUAACCUAAUACGUUAGUGUUUUGACGUUACCGACAGAAUAAGCACCGGCUAACUCUGUGCCAGCAGCCGCGGUAAUACAGAGGGUGCAAGCGUGAAUCGGAAUUACUGGGCGUAAAGCGCGCGUAGGUGGUUUGUUAAGUUGGAUGUGAAAUCCCCGGGCUCAACCUGGGAACUGCAUUAAAAACUGAAUGACUAGAGUAUGGUAGAGGGUGGUGGAAUUUCCUGUGUAGCGGUGAAAUGCGUAGAUAUAGGAAGGAACACCAGUGGCGAAGGCGACCACCUGGACUAAUACUGACACUGAGGUGCGAAAGCGUGGGGAGCAAACA
rnacentral:rRNA from 1 species